CAACUUACCCUUAGGACYGGGAUAACUCCUGGGAAACUGGAGAUAAUACCGGAUAGAGCAUCGAAUGCUGGAAUGCACGAUGUUCAAAAGCUGAGGUGCCUAAGGAUAGGUCUGCGGCCGAUUAGGUUGUUGUUGAUGUGAUGGAUUAACAAGCCUACGAUCGGUAUGGGUUGUGAGAGCAAUAGCCCAGAGAUGGGUUCUGAGAAAAGAACCCAGGUCCUACGGGACGCAUCAGGCGCGAAAACUUUACAAUGUGCGAAAGCACGAUAAGGGAACUCUGAGUGCCUCCUACGGAGGCUGUUCAGUUGUCUAAAACGCAUCUGAAGGAAGGGCUGGGUAAGACCGGUGCCAGCCGCCGCGGUAACACCGGCAGCCCAAGUGGUAGCCAUGUUUAUUGGGUCUAAAGCGUCCGUAGCCGGCCACGUAAGUUCCUUGGGAAAUUURAUCGCUUAACGGUYAAGCUUUCGGGGAAUACUGCUUGGCUUGGGACCGGGAGAGGUCAGAGGUACUCYAAGGGUAGGGGUGAAAUCCAUUAAUCCUUGGGGGACCACCGGUAGCGAAGGCGUCUGACCAGACCGGAUCCGACGGUGAGGGACGAAGGCUAGGGUCACGAACCGGAUUAGAUACCCGGGUAGUCCUAGCUGUAAACGAUGCGGGCCAGGUGUUGGCAUUACUGCGAGUGAUGCCAGUGCCGAAGGGAAGCCGUUAAGCCCGCCAUCUGGGGAGUACGGUCGCAAGGCUGAACUUAA
rnacentral:rRNA from 1 species